GUGCCCACCGCCCCCGUGAUAACUAAGGUGCGAGCCUCUCCCCGAAUUUUUUGGGCGUAAAGGGCCUCAUAGGUGGUUGAUCGCGUCGGAAGUGUAAUCUUGGGGCUUAACCCUGAGCGUGCUUUCGAUACGGGUUGACUUGAGGAAGGUAGGGGAGAAUGGAAUUCCUGGUGGAGCGGUGGAAUGCGCAGAUAUCAGGAGGAACACCAGUGGCGAAGGCGGUUCUCUGGGCCUUUCCUGACGCUGAGGAGCGAAAGCGUGGGGAGCGAACAGGCUUAGAUACCCUGGUAGUCC
rnacentral:rRNA from 1 species